AAAAACCUGAUCACUCUCUCUCCUCUCACGCAGAACCAUCUCUCUCUCUCCUCUGUUCAGGCCAGCCACGACCUUCGUGGCUUCCGAUGAAGAUUCCAGCCGCCUACGGCCACGAUUUUGGAUCUCUUCUCUUCGUCUCUCUCUCCUCUACACAUCUAUACCAAAUUGCAGCCCCAAAUCUAAGGAAAUUAAAGCCAAAAUCCAAGCCAAAGUGAGCCCAAAAAUGGGCUAUUUCAAACAGUAAAUUUCGGGGUAUUUUUCGGUCAUCUCUGGCCGCCAAAGGUCAGGUUUUCAAGAGACAGAAAGCUUCGUUCGAGGGCUUUAGAGGUGGAAUUGAUCGUCGAGCCAAGGCACUCGGACACCAGUUGACCCACAAGAGGGACCUUCCAAAGGUCCAGCGAGCUCGGACCAACUCCACCUUAGGUACCCAUAUAUACAGAUGUUGCCUUCGGAUAUGAUGAUGUCCACGAACAUCCAGGUUGCCUUCGGAUUUUAUCAGUUGCCUUCGGUUUAGUCAGCAUGCUUGACAGUUGCCCCACAAGUUCUAUGGUACCCGGACUCGUGUGGAGCGAGGACGCGGAUCAGGUUGACCAAGGUCCCCUGAAUCCUACGAGGUUGCGGCUCGGAUUGACUUUGUGUCACUGAGACCUGCGAGGACGUGUCACCAAUGGUGAUGGGAGAGGAAUUGACGGAUAUCAGGAAUUGAUGGUUAUCAGGAAUUGACGGACUAUCAGGAAUUGACAGAUAUCAGGAAUUGACGGAAAUAAAGGGGUACACUUAGGCUGUAGACGUGCAUCCGAGAGCCACCACAGGGCAGUUCCCGCUUCCCGCUCUCCCUCAGUUUGAUGUAGGGAUUCUUGGUUAACAAGUUGUUUCCUUCCUUGUAAAUUAAUCUGUUUGGUUGCUCUAAUGUUGCUCUAGAACUUGUUUUACUGUUGGAACGUACUUAUUUUUGUAUACUGGCAGUUGGUGUAUAUAUUUAAGUGCUUGUUGACAGGUGUAAAUUUUUGGGAAUGUUCGAUUUACAGGGAAGACUCUGCCGAAUUUUCGGUAGAAGUCAAGACUUAAGGG